rnacentral:rRNA from 1 species
GACGAACGCUGGCGGCGUGCUUAACACAUGCAAGUCGAACGGAAAGGCCCUGCUUUUGUGGGGUGCUCGAGUGGCGAACGGGUGAGUAACACGUGAGUAACCUGCCCUUGACUUUGGGAUAACUUCAGGAAACUGGGGCUAAUACCGGAUAGGAGCUCCUGCUGCAUGGUGGGGGUUGGAAAGUUUCGGCGGUUGGGGAUGGACUCGCGGCUUAUCAGCUUGUUGGUGGGGUAGUGGCUUACCAAGGCUUUGACGGGUAGCCGGCCUGAGAGGGUGACCGGCCACAUUGGGACUGAGAUACGGCCCAGACUCCUACGGGAGGCAGCAGUGGGGAAUAUUGCACAGUGGGCGGAAGCCUGAUGCGGCAACGCCGCGUGCGGGAUGACGGCCUUCGGGUGGUAAACCGCUUUCGCCUGUGACGAAGCGUGAGUGACGGUAAUGGGUAAAGAAGCACCGGCUAACUACGUG